GAUGAACGCUGGCGGCGUGCCUAAUACAUGCAAGUCGAGCGAACAGACGAGGAGCUUGCUCCUCUGACGUUAGCGGCGGACGGGUGAGUAACACGUGGAUAACCUACCUAUAAGACUGGGAUAACUUCGGGAAACCGGAGCUAAUACCGGAUAAUAUAUUGAACCGCAUGGUUCAAUAGUGAAAGACGGUUUUGCUGUCACUUAUAGAUGGAUCCGCGCCGCAUUAGCUAGUUGGUAAGGUAACGGCUUACCAAGGCAACGAUGUGUAGCCGACCUGAGAGGGUGAUCGGCCACACUGGAACCGAGACACGGUCCAGACUCCUACGGGAGGCAGCAGUAGGGAAUCUUCCGCAAUGGGCGAAAGCUUGACGGAGCAACGCCGCGUGAGUGAUGAAGGUCUUCGGAUCGUAAAACUCUGUUAUUAGGGAAGAACAAAUGUGUAAGUAACUAUGCACGUCUUGACGGUACCUAAUCAGAAAGCCACGGCUAACUACGUG
rnacentral:rRNA from 1 species